GACGAACCGUGCGAACGUUGUUCGGAAUCACUGGGCUUAAAGGGCGCGUAGGCGGGCCAUAAAGUCAGGGGUGAAAUCCUCCAGCUUAACUGGAGAACUGCCUUUGAUACUGAUGGUCUCGAGUAAGGUAGGGGCAUGCGGAACUGAUGGUGGAGCGGUGAAAUGUGUUGAUAUCAUCAGGAACUCCGGUGGCGAAGGCGGCAUGCUGGACCUUCACUGACGCUGAGGCGCGAAAGCUAGGGGAGCGAACAGG
rnacentral:rRNA from 1 species